AUUGAACGCUGGCGGUAGGCUUAACACAUGCAAGUCGAACGAGUGGCGGACGGGUGAGUAAUGCUUGGGAAUCUGGCUUAUGGAGGGGGAUAACGACGGGAAACUGUCGCUAAUACCGCGUACCAUAGGAUGAGCCCAAGUGGGAUUAGGUAGUGGGUGGGGUAAAGGCCUACCAAGCCGGCGAUCUCUAGCUGGUCUGAGAGGAUGACCAGCCACACUGGAACUGAGACACGGUCCAGACUCCUACGGGAGGCAGCAGUGGGGAAUAUUGCGCAAUGGGGGCAACCUGACGCAGCCAUGCCGCGUGAGUGAAGAAGGCCUUCGGGUUGUAAAGUUCUUUCGGUAGCGAGGCGUUAACUACAGAAGAAGCACCGGCUAACUCCGUGCCAGCAGCCGCGGUAAUUC
rnacentral:rRNA from 1 species